GAGGGUAUAACUCAAGUGAUAGAGUGCAUGUUUGGCAUGCACCAGGUCCUGGGCUCAAUCCCCAGUAUCUCCU
rfam:Camelus ferus unplaced genomic scaffold scaffold1264, whole genome shotgun sequence.